rnacentral:lncRNA from 1 species
UUUUUAAAAAUUUUCUGGGUAGAUUCUACUAAGUUUCCCUCUCAAUAGAAAUGCUAAUUUAAAGGGAAGAACUUUGUUGCACUUAAGGUGUUCGACGAUAUGAUUAAAAAAACUGAGUAAUAUUCUACCAUUUCUUUUCCCAUAGGUGAAUUUAUCACAAGUAUCUAUCCUUUUGUAAGGCCAGAAAUUUUGAUUGCACAAAUAUAGGUCAUUUGAAAGAUGUUUCGGUAACUGUAGGUAUGGUAGUGAAAUAUUUAGCAUAUCCUUUACUGGGAUGUGUUGGAAAAUUCAUUUGUAUCUAAAAAGAUGAAGCCUUUUCAUGAAAGAAAAUGAAUAUGGAUAAUUCUCUAAUGGUGCCCUGCAUUUUGACUGUGCUGCAAUUAGUAAUAUUAAUUUGUCAGGAAUUCAUCAUUAGCAGAAAGCUCUCAUUUUAGUUGUUUAUCUGGAGUAUCUAUUUAUAUGAUAAGGUAUACACGAUUAAUUACAUUAAUUUUCUCUUCUUUUCAUUUGAUAUCUAGGUCAAUAUAAAUGUGUAUACACACAAACCUUCUUAUAUAUUUGUCACCCUAACGGUGUUUAAAUGCAGUACUUGUCAUAACUUUGAACUCCUUGUUUGCCUUUAUUUUAUUGUAUAAAUGAAAUAUGUUUUUUUGUACUGGUUUUUCUUCAUGAAAUGUGGCUUCUAAAACUAGGUUGUUUUAGUAUAUUAUAACGCAAGGUGGACUCAUUGACUCCCCAGUAGUUUAUGCAGCACCAAGGUAAUAUUAUGUUUUGGUGUCAUUCAGAUGCAUGGUCUGUUUGAUAGUGAACUGCGGACAGCUCAUAUUAAGAGGUAAGAGAAAGAAGUUUUUGCUUCCUUAAUAAACUAUAAGAGUUCUUCCGGUUACUUUAAUUUUGAUAUUAAUGGUCAUAAUAUUGUAUUUACUGCGAUUUCGAUAUCUAUAGUAUAUAAAAGGAGUGGAUGGUUCCUACUGGUUUCUGAAACAUUGGUGUAUAUUCAUGAGAAAAUGGCUGCAAGAAAACAUAAACGUAGCUUGAGAGAACUUUGUUAUAAAAAAAGCUUUUUGGAUGUUUGAGUAAUAAAGUGAUCUUUUCUUUUCCAUUUUCAAUGUAAUUGUUUCUUCUAGGAUAAUUAUGUAUUACAUAUACUUCUGAUAUUGAGUAUUUUAAGUUUUCAUAUUAAAGAGUUAUGUACAUAAAGAAUCUCCUUUAUUGUCGACAAGUUUGACUGACUGUUAGCUUUCCAAAAGCAAAGGUGAUUAGGUUGCAGGGUACAUGAAUGUAUUAGUCUAUGGUUAGAUAUUUAUCCUUUUUAAGGUUCUCAAAAAUGAAAGACUGCCGUAAAUCCUUUACAAAGUCCAGGUAAAUGCUUCAUCCCAGUGAAAAAGCACAUGAAGAAACUGAAGUCUCAAUUUGACUUGUCAGGCAGUUUGAAAUUAUCGAAAUAUUAUUUUCUGCAGGAAUGAACUAUUAAUAUUGUAGAUGAAUUUUUGUUAUGCUCGCAAACUUUUCAUGAUCAUGAUUGUGCCAUUUUUAAAACAUAGAGAAAAUGAAUACUGGUAAAGCUGAAACUGAAAAUUACCUGGGUAAUUCUGCUAUUACUUACACUUUGUGAUUUAGUUUUGACAUUCUUAUCAAUAAGAAUCUCUUUGUGCCUCAUUAGUCUCUGGCCUUGCCAUUAGUUGGAGCAAUCCUCUCCAUAACGUAUUAUAUUUGCAGUUGCAAGUAAUAAUAUGUUUGAACUGUAGCCUGCCAGGAUAUUAGACACUUCAAUUUAUCUAAGUUAUUCUUUACCGAAUGUAGGUAUAGCGUUUAUGUGCUAGCUUCUAUCUCCUAACUCCUCAUUGGAGGACCUUAAAUAGCCUUAAGAGGUGAGUAUAUAACAAAAGCAGACAGACAAUGGAGAAUUAUUUUGGGAUAAAAUCUCCAUGUAAUGUAGUUUCAUUCUGUUUUACUCAUAUCUUUCCCCGGUAAUAUUUGUCUUCUGUAGUAAUAUUCGCCUUGUGUAGUAAGUAAUUUGCUCUUUCUAAUAUGAUUCAAUUAAAAUGCUCACUUACAAAUAUUCCUUCUAAUAGCCAUAGGAUAUAUCUAUAUAGAUACUUACAACUCUAUGCAAAAGGCUGCUCUGUUGUUUCCAAAGUAGUAGUGCUUAACAUAUUUUUUCUAAAAAGCAAAUUUUUGACCAGUGAUCUCUGGUAUCGGUGGUUCAUGCUAUAGUAUUAAGAUGUUAUCGGAUGCAAGAUAUCAAGCUCCUUAUACAUGGUAAGUAAAAGGUAGAAAUGCCAUGGGUUUACUUUAUGCUUCUUUGGGUGGUCAAUACAUUUAUGUAAUUAACAUAACCACGAAAAUAUUGUGGUAAAUUAGAGUUUGGUAGCAAGUAAUUGAUUGAAUUUUGCCAUGAAAUAGUGUUGAAAAAUUACUCUUUUAUAGUUAGAGAAUCCUGGAUGAUGCAAAUAAUCUCAGUACGGAGGUGCAAAAGUAUGUGUUUAUUGCCAAGGAAUAGAAUCUUGAAUGAGGAUGGAGGUUAAAGAAAGCUUGGUUUGUUUGUUUCUCCCUUCGUCUCUCUGAUUUUGCUGAUUGAUAAGUCGGUGUGAGAUUUGUCAGCGUCUUCUUCAUAUAUAAUUCCAUUAUUUUUUGGUUUUAUCUCCUCAUCUUAUUCUUAUUAAUUAUUUUCUGACUAAUUAGAUUUCGUUGCUUUCAUCUUCAUUGCUUGAUUUGGGUAAAACUGUAUUGGGUUUUGAUUAUUUUGUGAAUGGUUAAUUUUUUUUUUCAAUGUUAAUGAUUUAACGUGGAGAUUUAAAACAGAUAUGUUGCAUUGUUACAGGGAAAAAUUUUAUGAAAUGGAGGGAGAGUUUGUAAUCUCAUGGAGAUGACAAUCCUUUCUCCUUUUACUGUUGUGUUAAUUAUGCUUAUACCUUUGCUAUAGAUUUCUGCUCAAUUAAAAAAAAAGAGGUAUAUUAAUUGUACUUUAAUUGGUUUUGCAGCAAAACCUUAAUUGUCAUCUUUCACAAGGAUUUUUUCUCUUUCAAAUUUUCGAGAUAUUUAUAUUAGGUAUGCCCCUUUGCUGUAUCUGGUAUUGCAGGAAUAUGCUGAACACAUUUUCCUCGGUGGAAGUAAUACUUCCUAAGUUUUUUACUAUGAUUGCAAUUUUAUAUAUAGAAACUCCACCAAAUGCGUCUCCAACAUGAAAAAGUUUGAUCAUUCUUCAUAUGCAAAGUUUUCAUGUACAGAGCCAUUUUCCUCUUUCUGUUACUCAUUCUUAGUACUUUUUGUUGUUGUCAGCUUUAGUGCACGCACACAAUAUGAUUUGUAUGAUGAAAACAAAUUAUUUGUAACAUGAAGUUCAUUAGAAAAGAUUGUUGGUUCUGUAGGCACACUGUACAAGCGCCGCGAUUUGAGAGACAACAUGAGAGUCCAAAAAUAUGGCUACAGUUUCCACUUACCAGUAGAGCUACAACUGCUGUUGUAAGAAAUUAUCCUUUCUUUCCAACUCGUGGCUUUUCCUCAAAAGUUUGAAAAUUAUUUUCUUACUUUUUUGCUGGGAUAAUCUUAUAUGGUAAUUAUAACUCUAGCUUAGAUUGCACGGAUACUGUAUUCAGUGGAAGAAAAAAGCAAUAUGGAAUGCUAAGUUCAUGUUCUUUGUUUUACCAUUUCUCGAUCUUUUUGUAAAAUCUAGAAGUAUGAUAUUGCAGGAACUAACUAUUGUAUUUUUGAGGAACUAUUCUAUUUAUGCUACCUGCCCCAAUCAACAUUGAAAUAUAAGAGAAAGAGAGAACUAAUUGAAAAUCCAUUCCAGGAGUUCUUAGAACUAGAAAGAAAGACGCAGUGAUAUUACUUUCUGUACUUUAUCUAAAGCCUGGAAGGACAUGAAAUAUUUAACACAAGGCAAUAUCCAUUUUGGUACUUGAAUGGCACGGCAGUCUAUGAUCGCAUAUAGCUGCAAUAUCUGUUUCUGAACUUGAUAUUACAGUUUUAUCUUGUUAGCUACUUCGGAAUAUUAUGCAGAUGUCACAUAAUAAGCUCAUAUCAAUACAGGUGCAUCCUUAUGCCAGAGUUGAAAUAUGGAUCUUCGAAUGCAUUUAGCUAGAAACGAGUUCUUUGGCGUUCAAGUUGGAUAAACUGUUCAUGACUUUGCUAUUAUCUCAGUGUCAAGGUACAUAUCUUUUAUGCAUUACCAUUCCCGUUCAUUCAAAUUUUCCAUAUCUAUUGGUGCAUUUAACCUUAAUCUUUUGGUUAACAGAGCACAUCCUGAAAAUAUUCGAUGUAGUACUAUAGAAGGAAGCUGGUUCUUUUUUCCUAUCCCGCACUAGAGAGUAGAGAUGAUGUGAAGCAAUUGUUACUUUGCUUGAGGACAAAUAAUAUUGAUGUAAUUUGAAAAUGCAACAUUUAGAGAAUGCCUU